rnacentral:tRNA from 2 species
GCCAACGUAGCUCAACGGUAGAGCAACGGUAUCGUAAACCGUCGGUUGAGGGUUCGAUUCCCCCCGUUGGCUCAA